rnacentral:rRNA from 1 species
AACGAACGCUGGCGGCAUGCCUAACACAUGCAAGUCGAACGAGACCUUCGUGUCUAUUGUCGCACGUGUUCGUAACGCGUUGUAUCCUUCCCUUAUGUUCUGAAUAACUCCCCGUAUUGGGUUCUAAUACCGGUUAAUGUCUUCUGACCAAUGAUUUAUCGCGUUUGGAUGUGCCCGCGUUGGAUUAGCUAGUUGGUAGGGUAAAAGCCUACAAAGGAGACGAUCCAUAGAUGGUCUGAGAGAAUGAUAAGACACACUGGGACUGAGACACGGACCAGACUACUACGGGAGGAAGGAGAGGGGAAUAUAGGAAAAUGGGGGAAAGCCUGAAGAAGCAAGGACGGGUGAGUGAUGAAGGCAUUAGGGAAGAAAAGCUCAAUUACACGGGAUGAUAAUGACAGUAACGGGAGAAUAAGCAACGGCUAACUCCGUG